rnacentral:rRNA from 1 species
UACAGAGGUCUCAAGCGUUGUCCGGAAUUAUUGGGCGUAAAGAGCUCGUAGGCGGUCUGUCGCGUCGGUCGUGAAAACUUGGGGCUUAACCCUGAGCUUGCGGUCGAUACGGGCAUGACUGGAGUUCGGCAGGGGAGAAUGGAAUUCCCGGUGUAGCGGUGAAAUGCGCAGAUAUCGGGAAGAACACCCGUGGCGAAGGCGGUUCUCUGGGACGGUACUGACGCUGAGACGCGAAAGCGUGGGGAGCGAACAGG